rnacentral:rRNA from 1 species
GAAACGUGGAUUAAUACCGGAUACCCUCACGGAAUCGCAUGGUUCUGUGAGGAAAUGCUCCGGCGCUUUGGGAUGGACUCGCGGCCUAUCAGCUAGUUGGUGAGGUAACGGCUCACCAAGGCACUGACGGGUAGCUGGUCUGAGAGGACGAACAGCCACACUGGGACUGAGACACGGCCCAGACUCCUACGGGAGGCAGCAGCAGGGAAUAUUGCACAAUGGGCGCAAGCCUGAUGCAGCGACGCCGCGUGAGGGAUGAAGGCUUUCGGGUCGUAAACCUCUUUCAGUGGGGAAGAAGCGCAAGUGACGGUACCCACACAAGAAGGCCCGGCCAACUACGUGCCAGCAGCCGCGGUAAGUACGUAGGGGCCAAGCGUUAUCCGGAUUUAUUGGGCGUAAAGAGCUCGUAGGCGGUUUGGUAAGUCGGUCGUGAAAGUCCGAGGCUCAACCUCGGAAUGCCGGUCGAUACUGCCAUGACUAGGGUUCGGUAGAGGAGAGUGGAAUUCUCGGUGUAGCGGUGAAAUGCGCAGAUAUCGAGAGAAACACCAGUAGCGAAGGCGGCUCUCUGGGCCGAUA